rnacentral:piRNA from 1 species
UGUCGUUUGUCCUUCUAGCCUGGAAGAC